rnacentral:rRNA from 1 species
UACGAAGGGAGCUAGCGUUGUUCGGAAUCACUGGGCGUAAAGCGCACGUAGGCGGAUGUGUCAGUCAGGGGUGAAAUCCCGGAGCUCAACUUCGGAACUGCCUUUGAUACAGCACAUCUGGAGUCCGGAAGAGGUGGGUGGAAUUCCUAGUGUAGAGGUGAAAUUCGUAGAUAUUGGGAAGAACACCAGUGGCGAAGGCGGCUAACUGGUCCAGAUCUGACGCUGAGGUGCGAAAGCGUGGGGAGCAAACAGG